rnacentral:rRNA from 1 species
CCUACGGGAGGCUGCAGCGGGGAAUAUUGCACAAUGGGCGCAAGCCUGAUGCAGCCAUGCCGCGUGUGUGAAGAAGGCCUUCGGGUUGUAAAGCACUUUCAGCGGGGAGGAAGGCGGUGAGGUUAAUAACCUCAUCGAUUGACGUUACCCGCAGAAGAAGCACCGGCUAACUCCGUGCCAGCAGCCGCGGUAAUACGGAGGGUGCAAGCGUUAAUCGGAAUUACUGGGCGUAAAGCGCACGCAGGCGGUCUGUCAAGUCGGAUGUGAAAUCCCCGGGCUCAACCUGGGAACUGCAUUCGAAACUGGCAGGCUAGAGUCUUGUAGAGGGGGGUAGAAUUCCAGGUGUAGCGGUGAAAUGCGUAGAGAUCUGGAGGAAUACCGGUGGCGAAGGCGGCCCCCUGGACAAAGACUGACGCUCAGGUGCGAAAGCGUGGGGAGCAAACAGGAUUAGAUACCCGUGUAGUC